UGAUAAUUUAUCUUGGAAUUAUAAAUAAUCGUCGCUUCGUUCUCGAACGAAGAUUUCAAGUAAAAAAAAAAAAAAAAAAAAAAAAAAACUAAUAACACCAAAUAAAAAUUUUAAUGUCCGAUACAUCCAACAAAAGUCCAACAAAAUUUAAUUUAUACAUCGUAUGGAAGCGGGUACUUCAACAUGGACGGCCACAAACUUGAACCGAUUAUACCUACAUCAAAUUAAAUGAUUAAGUAAGCAAAUACUCAAAUAAUUAAUAAAAUAAUAAUAAUAAUAAUAAUAAUAAUAAUAAUAAUAAUAAUAAUAAUAAUAAUUUAAUCAAACUUGGUCACCAAGUUUGUAAAUCAAGUAUUUAAUGAUUCUUUGAUAUUUUCCACAUCCUUCCCUCUCUCCCAUGAAUCUCUCUCCCACUCCCUAAAUCUCUCCCACGUCUAAACCAAAUCAUCUUCCUCUAUAUUAUUCACGGCACAAUCAAAUUUCUCUUAUUCGUUCUCUGCAAUCAAGAAACCAAGCUUCAUUCUCUCAAGAAAUCAAGAACCCAAUUCGAAGGAGGGAGCUAUCGGUUAAUCUCUCAAAAUCCAUUAAAGGUUAUCUCCGCAAGUAAGGUCGGAGUAAGAAAUUCAAGUUAAAGGAACUAAACGAACCAGGUUGAGCAGCGAAGUGGUGGAGGAAGUGCUAUUGAGACAAGACUCUUACU